CUGGUGUCAGCCGCCGCGGUAAUACCAGCACCUCGAGUGGUCAGGACGUUUAUUGGGCGUAAAGCAUCCGUAGCCGGUUGUUUAAGUUUUCGGUUAAAUCUAUGCGCUUAACGUAUAGGCUGCCGAAAAUAUUGGACAGCUUGGGAGUGGGAUGAGGUACUCGGUACUCAAUAGGAAGGGGUAAAAUCCUUUGAUCUGUUGAUGACCACCUGUGGUGAAGGCGGUUUACCAGAACACGUUCGACGGUGAGGGAUGAAAGCUGGGGGAGCAAUCCGGAUUAGAUACCCGGGUAGUUCCAGCUGUAAGCGAUGCAAACUCGGUGAUGCAUUGGCUUGUGGCCAAUGCAGUGCCGCAGGGAAGCCGUUAAGUUCGCCGCCUGGGAAGUACGUACGCAAGUAUGAAACUUAAAG
rnacentral:rRNA from 2 species